UAACACAUGCAAGUCGAGCGGUAGCACAGAGAGCUUGCUCUCGGGUGACGAGCGGCGGACGGGUGAGUAAUGUCUGGGAAACUGCCUGAUGGAGGGGGAUAACUACUGGAAACGGUAGCUAAUACCGCAUAACGUCGCAAGACCAAAGAGGGGGACCUUCGGGCCUCUUGCCAUCAGAUGUGCCCAGAUGGGAUUAGCUAGUAGGUGGGGUAACGGCUCACCUAGGCGACGAUCCCUAGCUGGUCUGAGAGGAUGACCA
rnacentral:rRNA from 1 species